CAGGAGAAUUCUUUUGCUUCAUUAUUUAGGAAGCUGUGGAGCAUUAUCAAAAGGCAUUCAGAAGCUGGGGUGGGGGCAGUCUUAGCAAAGAUUUCAACCAUUCUUAAACUGGCAUUUUUUGCUCAGAGAUCCAGCUGGAAAUGGAGACGAGGGAACAAAAGUUUUUCUUAUGCUAAAAAGUCUGGGUUGCCCAAGAAUAUUACAUGAAGCAAGAAUACUACAUGACUUAAGUAACCAGUCACAAACUAAAACAAGACACUGCAUUUCCAUCCAAACAGAAGAAAAUGUACUUCUCUUAAACUGCAAAGAACAUCAUGGAGCAGCUCUUUUCUGGUGCAUUCAGAGCUUGAACUGUCUUAGUUGGGAAAGAUCAUGAUAGGGCAAGUCACAAGGGAGUUCUGCUGUGUCCCUAAUUAGCUGAGCUACCCAAAUAAUGUAGAAGGUCAUCAGAAGCCAUUUUCACUCUGUUUCUCAGACAGGGAAAGAGGCUGUGUUCCUCUGAGCACUCUGAAAUCAUUUUAAAGAAAAUAGUGAAGGAAAGGAAGAUUUUCAUCCAUUCUGAUAAUUUAUUACAUGCAGCAGUACAGCUGUUUAUGUCCGAAGGCGGAAGUGGAAGAAGGGUCUUUGUUUCUGUUUGGCAAUUUUUCCAUGACACUGUCAGUAAAAGUAGAAGGGAGCUAUUUUAUCCUGUUGGGUGCAGCCCUCACAUGGGAAUGCAACAGCAACAAAUAAAAGGCUUAGCUGAUGAUUUGGCAGUAUCCUUCAUUUUGUUAUUUAAUAUUAGGAAUUCUUUUAGCUUUUCCCAGUGGCAAGAAUAAAACUUUGUUUAUCAAAACUCCUACUCCCCUUUGUUCAAGAGUGAGCACUACUCAUACAGACAUUUUACAGUCUCAGGCAUUUGAAAAAAUUACACUGUGGAAAAAUUAGGAUCCUUUAGAAUCAAAUGUCUACUCUUGGAGUUGAAAUGGGUGCAUGGACCAUCUAGGUUACCAUCCCUUGAUUAAGCUUGGAGCUGUGCAGUAGGAAAAUAGCAACACUGAACAAAGACUGAGUAGAUGAAUGACACUUGGGUUCACAGUGUAGCACAUGAUGCUGGGGCUGGUUCUGUUACAGAGCCCCUCAAAGAGGACUGCAGGGCAGCGGGGUGCCAGGGCUGCUACAGGCACAACAUGGUCAGGACAUAGGCAGCAUUUCACAUAGGGGAACAAGAGAAAGGGGUUUCUUUUAGACUUUGAAAGUAGAAAGGACUAUAUAUUUCAGUGAAAUAUAAUCAUACAUUUCUAUUGGUAAGACUAUAGUUGAGGAAAUAACACAUACAUGCAUAUUUUAUAUAAAGAGACUGGAUCUUUUUAAAGGUUUGGGCAAGGAUAAUACAAGGAGGGUAGCCAGCAACCCAUUUUUGCCUUAACGAGUGUCUACAUAUCAUGUUCAGAAGAGUACACUGGGAACUUCAAUUUUAAUUGGACUCAGUAAAGCAGGUUUGUUCAAUUAGCCCCAAAGGUCUUUCUAACACAAUAAUUUCAGUGUUAUGAUUUCAUAUAUGUAUAUGAAAAGCUAGUUGUAAUCAUGUCUUUAACUUCUUCAUAAACUGAGUUGUACUGGGGAAAUAAAGAUAAUAAAAAUCUGACACAUAAACUUACUAAAAGGGACUAAAUGUUUAAAUUUUUAAAUAAACUAGAAUUUUCAGUUAUGUUGUGAAAUAACUAGUAUUUGAAGGACAACACUGAGAAUCAGAAAAGCAAAUGUUAAGAUAGAAAUUUAGGGGUAAUAAAAAAGCACUAAUACUGAUUAGGAUGAUUAUGAUGAUCAGAACUUCCGGUAUGUAAAAUCAUAAUGAAAGUAAUAUAGCAUAAUAUGCUCUCAGAAGUUAUGUAUUUACUUAGGCAGUAGGAAAAAUCUUUUCAUGCUAAGGCAGUUUAUGUAGUUAUAGUAGAACUUCUAAAGAAGUAAGGAAUGUAGUUAAACAACCUGAUGAGAAGAACAACACUCUAUAAAAAAAAAUAAAAAAAUAAAAAAUAAAAAAAAUUUACUGAUUCAAAAA